rnacentral:rRNA from 1 species
UUGGAGGGCAAGUCUGGUGCCAGCAGCCGCGGUAAUUCCAGCUCCAAUAGCGUAUAUUAAAGUUGUUGCAGUUAAAAAGCUCGUAGUUGAAUUUCGGGAUCAACUUACUGGUCGUGCCUAUGGUACGCACUGGUUUUGUUGGUUUCUCCCUUCUGACGAAUCACGAUGUCAUUAAUUUGAUGUCCUGGGGAAUCAGGACUGUUACUUUGAAAAAAUUAGAGUGUUUAAAGCAGGC